ACUCACACCGCCAUACAACGGAACCCCCGAUUGGGCAGUUAAUACAGCAUCCUGAUUGGCCAGAGGCCGGUACUCCACCCGUAGCGCUGAACACCCGCGACUCUUGGGCCACCUGGCUGAGAGCAAAGUGACAGAUUCCAGCCCAGUACCACCGUAGUCCCUCAAACUGUAAUUAACUAAUUAGGCCCGAUGGGAUUGAGAAUAGGUAAAAAGAUCCGGGGCUAUUUUGUCUAUACGCUGCACUGUCAUGGGAACAUGUGCAGUGGAUGGAACUAAAUAUGUGCCCUCCAGAACCAAUACUAGAGUGACUGAGGUGUGCUCCAUGACAAUGCGGAACAGAACCACCGUGGUCUUCAAUAGUGAGUCUCAUGGUGCCACAGACACCCUAGGCCCUGCCACUAAAUCCUCUGUUGCUAUCCCUCUGACAGAAUGGGCAGCUCUGAGUAUCACCAGUGACUUCUGGGUUAUUUUUCCACUGACUAAUGGGUGCAUCUUCUAGGCAUUUACUUAGACACUUGCCUGGUAUUUUCUC
rnacentral:lncRNA from 1 species